CGUCGCUCAGACCAUCACACCUCUCUGUGCUCUCUCUGCUCUCUGCUUUCUUCAUCUCCAGGUCUCCCAUCUGUCCCUGUCUCUACCAUCCUCAUCCUCACUCUGUCUCUCCAUGGGAGUCAUGUCCUCCCCCAGGUUCCUGUCACUUCAUCUGCUUGGAGCCUUGCUGCUGCCGCUGCUGCUGCUGCCUGGUUCUUGGGCCCAGCAUUAUGAUGAUUUCACAUCAUCUCCAGAUUACGACUCUGACUACAACUCCACCUUUGAGUACAGCUUCUUCAGUAAUACGAGCAGCGAGGACCUGGACAGACUUGUGGAACGCUACCUCGAUCCAGACGAAACUACGGAGGACACUGGAGGACCAGAGGAGGAAGUGGCUGUAACCAUGGUGAUUACAAGAAGAACAACAGAGGGGGUCAACGCUCACGGCACUGCACCAUUUCAGUGGCUCUCAUACACCUUCGUAAUUUUCAGCUUCGCCACUUCUUCCACACUAAAGGUUUCUGUGGUCAGGCUGAGAACUCUGCUGAGCCUCAUGGUUCACCAAACCCUGAGUCAAAGCCAAACCUUCAGGUUGAAACUCAGAAAACCACACACGGUUUCACUUAACUCCCAGUUUAUGAAUUAAACAAUUUUUAAAAAUAUGUUUCUCUUCCACUGCAUGUCUGUAUUUCUUCCUGUUAAAAGGGAGUUUUUCCUUCUCACUGUAGCCAAAGCGCUUGCUCGUAGGAGGUCAUAUGAUUGUUGGCGUUUGCUCUGUGCCUUCCAGUACAAAGAGCCUCGAGGCGACUGUUACUGUGAUUUAGCUCUGUGUAAAUAAAACAGAAUCGAAAAGUUUAAACUUUCUGACGGUCCUGAAUUUAAAUCUCUGCCAGGAUUCAUCCAAAGAUGGUGAUAAAAGUUCAACUUCCAAAACUUUAUUUAGAGCCAACAAACCUUUUUUUCAAAUUUGCUGAUGUUUCUAUAAACGCACCUUUCAUGUUCACCAAAGCUAAUGCUAGAGUUUAGAAAAGUAUCCAGGAUGGUUGUUAAGUGGCGAGCCUGUAGAAGGAUUUUUGUUCAUCAUUAGGCUGCCCGCUGCACAAAGUGCGUCUUUAUAUCUCAUUUGAGGACCUCCAUCUUUGGUCCACUGACGGGUUGUUUUGUGACGCCAGGCGACGUCUGUUUUGUUUGACGUCCUCUGUCUGCUGUUGUCGGGAGGACCUCUGUGUACGCGCUCCAAAUAGUCCAAAUUUGGUUGUUGUACAAGUCUUUUAAAAACGGAGACACCUUUUAGACAUCGUUUUCAUAACGCUGCUACAUGUAUGUAAUCCACCG
ensembl:lncRNA